rnacentral:rRNA from 1 species
UACGUAGGGUGCAAGCGUUAAUCGGAAUUACUGGGCGUAAAGCGUGCGCAGGCGGCUUUGCAAGACAGAUGUGAAAUCCCCGGGCUUAACCUGGGAACUGCAUUUGUGACUGCAUGGCUAGAGUGCGACAGAGGGGGAUGGAAUUCCGCGUGUAGCAGUGAAAUGCGUAGAUAUGCGGAGGAACACCGAUGGCGAAGGCAAUCCCCUGGGCCUGCACUGACGCUCAUGCACGAAAGCGUGGGGAGCAAACAGG